GAUGAACGCUGGCGGCGUGCCUAAUACAUGCAAGUCGAGCGAACAGAUAAGGAGCUUGCUCCUUUGACGUUAGCGGCGGACGGGUGAGUAACACGUGGGUAACCUACCUAUAAGACUGGGAUAACUUCGGGAAACCGGAGCUAAUACCGGAUAACAUUUGGAACCGCAUGGUUCUAAAGUGAAAGAUGGUUUUGCUAUCACUUAUAGAUGGACCCGCGCCGUAUUAGCUAGUUGGUAAGGUAACGGCUUACCAAGGCAACGAUACGUAGCCGACCUGAGAGGGUGAUCGGCCACACUGGAACUGAGACACGGUCCAGACUCCUACGGGAGGCAGCAGUAGGGAACCUUCCGCAAUGGGCGAAAGCCUGACGGAGCAACGCCGCGUGAGUGAUGAAGGGUUUCGGCUCGUAAAACUCUGUUAUUAGGGAAGAACAAAUGUGUAAGUAACUGUGCACGUCUUGACGGUACCUAAUCAGAAAGCCACGGCUAACUACGUG
rnacentral:rRNA from 1 species